CCUACGGGCGGCAGCAGUGGGGAAUAUUGGGCAAUGGGCGCAAGCCUGACCCAGCAACGCCGCGUGAAGGAUGAAGGUUUUCGGAUUGUAAACCUCUGUCGCGAGGGACGAAAGAUGACGGUACUUCGCAAGAAAGCCUCGGCUAACUCCGUGCCAGCAGCCGCGGUAAUACGUAGGGGGCAAGCUUUGGCCGGACUGACUGGGCGUAAAGGGAGUGUAGGCGGGUCAGCAAGUUAGUUGUGAAAUCCCAGGGCUUAACCGGGGAACUGCAUGUCAAACUGGUAAGCUGGAGUGCAGGAGAGGUUAGUGGAAUUCGUGGUGUAGCGGUGGAAUGCGUAGAUAUUAGGAGGAACACCAGAGGCGAAGGCGACUAACUGGCAUGUAACUGACGCUGAGGCUCGAAAGCGUGGGGAGCAAACAGGAUUAGAUACCCUGGUAGUC
rnacentral:rRNA from 1 species